CUACGGGCUGCUGCAGUGGGGAAUAUUGCACAAUGGGCGCAAGCCUGAUGCAGCCAUGCCGCGUGUAUGAAGAGGGCCUUCGGGUUGUAAAGUACUUUCAGCGGGGAGGAAGGGAGUAAAGUUAAUACCUUUGCUCAUUGACGUUACCCGCAGAAGAAGCACCGGCUAACUCCGUGCCAGCAGCCGCGGUAAUACGGAGGGUGCAAGCGUUAAUCGGAAUUACUGGGCGUAAAGCGCACGCAGGCGGUUUGUUAAGUCAGAUGUGAAAUCCCCGGGCUCAACCUGGGAACUGCAACUGAUACUGGCAAGCUUGAGUCUCGUAGAGGGGGGUAGAAUUCCAGGUGUAGCGGUGAAAUGCGUAGAGAUCUGGAGGAAUACCGGUGGCGAAGGCGGCCCCCUGGACGAAGACUGACGCUCAGGUGCGAAAGCGUGGGGAGCAAACAGGAUUAGAUACCCGAGUAGUC
rnacentral:rRNA from 1 species